rfam:Dipodomys ordii contig_61367, whole genome shotgun sequence.
GGUGGCUCAGUGGUAGAGUGCUUGCCUUGCAUGCAUGAAGCCCUGGGUUCGAUUCCUUAGCACCA